UACGUAGGGAGCAAGCGUUGUUCGGAUUUACUGGGCGUAAAGGGCGCGUAGGCGGCAUGACAAGUCACUUGUGAAAUCUCUGGGCUUAACCCAGAACGGCCAAGUGAUACUGUCGCGCUAGAGUGCGGAAGGGCAAUCGGAAUUCUCGGUGUAGCGGUGAAAUGCGUAGAUAUCGGGAGGAACACCUAUGGCGAAGGCAGCUCGCUGGGACGUUACUGACGCUGAGACGCGAAAGCGUGGGGAGCAAACAGG
rnacentral:rRNA from 1 species